CCCGUCCGUUCCUGGACACUUGAGCCCUUUCUACCUUUGGCUAUUGUGAACAGCGCUGCUGUUAGACUGUUACCAUCAGCACUGGCAAGAGGACACGACAUCUGUGCUGGCCUGAGGCCAGGCCACAUGAACGGCUGUGCACAGCUCCACCUCAUCCAGCCUGGGGCCUCAGAUACAGAAUGAUGACGGAGCCAGUCCAACCAGCUCAGGACAGCCUGGGAACCCGCCUCCUCACGUGUUCUCUCUGCAGGAUGUCCCAGUCAACCCCAGAGCCAGGAGCCAGGCGGUGGUGGUG